AUUGAACGCUGGCGGCAGGCCUAACACAUGCAAGUCGAACGGUAACAGGAAGCAGCUUGCUGCUUUGCUGACGAGUGGCGGACGGGUGAGUAAUGUCUGGGAAACUGCCUGAUGGAGGGGGAUAACUACUGGAAACGGUAGCUAAUACCGCAUAACGUCGCAAGACCAAAGAGGGGGACCUUCGGGCCUCUUGCCAUCGGAUGUGCCCAGAUGGGAUUAGCUAGUAGGUGGGGUAACGGCUCACCUAGGCGACAAUCCCUAGCUGGUCUGAGAGGAUGACCAGCCACACUGGAACUGAGACACGGUCCAGACUCCUACGGGAGGCAGCAGUGGGGAAUAUUGCACAAUGGGCGCAAGCCUGAUGCAGCCAUGCCGCGUGUAUGAAGAAGGCCUUCGGGUUGUAAAGUACUUUCAGCGGGGAGGAAGGGAGUAAAGUUAAUACCUUUGCUCAUUGACGUUACCCGCAGAAGAAGCACCGGCUAACUCCGUG
rnacentral:rRNA from 1 species